UUCAUCACAAUGUGCAAUAAGACGACAUCGCGUUGCAAAAUAGCUUGCUGUAAACGAUCACCGUGGAAAUAUCGUAAACAUCGAUGGUCAAGGAUUUUCCACGUCUCUUCCCCAAUGGCGUUGCUCUAUCUAUCGAUUAUCGGCAACGUGUUUUCUCCUCGUCGCACGCGUCUUUCCUUCGAGAAUAUUUCACGUUUUCGUAUCCGUAGCAGCUGGAAAUAAAUUUCCAUUUUUAGUGGAAACACUGCGCCGCGACUUUGACCUUGCAGCUACUCCACAUUUCUAUCUUCGUCCAUAUGACAACGGUGUGCAGACGUUUUUAGCCGGACACAUGUUUCAGCUUGCGUUCCAAGAUCGAGGGAAAAAUCUAUCCUAAACUUUUGCACGUCGCUGUACCUAUACGUACGUGGAUGAAAUAGUUCGUACGAUAGAAAGGGUAUGGGUGAGUUCACCGAUAUCGGUUGGAUCGUGAACGAGUUUCCAAAGUGCUGUGUCGGGGCGAGAGAAACGCCUGGGUCCGUAACAUACUUCUUAACCCCGAAAAAACGGUAAAAGGUAUCGAAUCCGUUCGAAUAGCAAUAAAUAUUUGGGAGAUCGCAACGCCGGAAGUGAAUCGUAUAAAAUACGUAUUGAUUAGAAAGAGGCGGCCAGAGAGGUGGGGCCAUUUGUCCAUUUAAUGGCGAAGAUCUUGACAAAAGGUCUACAAAUCCCUCGUGGAACGAGCGGCGCAUCGCGGGAUAAAGGAAAGUAAUGGAAAGCGGACAGUAAAUCUAGAGCAAAGCAGCAGCGGCAACUUCCUGGAAAAUUUCAAGUAUUUAUAGUUGCGCACGUAGGCAGCACCGAGUGCCAAGCUUUGGCUGACGACUUGGCUACCCAUCUCCGGAAGAGACAACGAAAAUAUCGCGCACAGCAACCUUCUCGCUCGCAGGUAAAUAUAAAAUCCUGCGGGCAAGGUGCACAAGGUGUGUCCCGAGCUUAGACUAGAGCUAACACACCCUCGUAUAUAAUGAUGAAAGGAACAAAAGUGAACAAGUCGAGAAAUAGAAACGGGCGAAAGAACCGUAGUAAUAAGGUAUGAAGAGAAAUCGAGGGCAAGGGACACAAACGAGACGGUGCUCGAAUGCUGGAAAAAAACGGCCUCGAGAGGCUGCAGAUGGGAAGAAGAAAGAAAAGGAUACGAUGUGGAGAAGGACGGUGAGGGAAUCAAAGGAACUCGGAGCAACGCAUACGAGAGACCCGAACACCUAGCGCAAAUUGAAAGGACAGAACAGGGACACGAUACGACAGAAUAGUAAAAGGAAGGUACCGCGGGAAAUGCAGAGUAUUAAGAAAGGAAAGCGAAGCAGAGUAGCCGAAGAAUAUAGUGGAAAAGGAAUGAAUUAAUAAGGUAAAGUUACGUUGGAAGAGGGGAGGAAACGGUGGAAGGUCUCGUAGAAGAAUGCUGAGGAAUUGAGAGAGAAGUAGAAUUAACCGGAAGAAUGAUCGUGCGGAGACAAAGGGUAGGAAAAGUAAAGGGACGAGGAAAAUAGUAGAAAGGAGAAGGAAAUAGCUGAAUAGGUUUCGCGAGUAUUUUAAGUAUUCGAAGUAUUGUAAUUACGUUACAUGACUUUGACGUAUCGCUUUGCUACGUGUACACACCUGUCCAUGGUCACCGGACAUCUUAAUAAAAUUUGGAUGCAAGUCGUUUUAAACGUAAUUAACAUUAACCAUACUCAGGAAUUAUAUAAUAACUCGUAAAGAGAAUAUUUCCACCUCGCUGCGACAGAUGCCAUCAAUGUCCUCUGACUCUUCAACGUAUAUCGACUUUAUCGCGAAGAAAUUGAAACCCCAGCAAAUCUGGCCGUACUUCCCAAAUCGCUAAAGAAAUCCCUCUGCGAUACGUAGAACGUCGAAAACCUCGAAUUUAUUCAAUGCGAUAAACACCUCUACGAAUCCAUCCAACUAUCACCGUGAUCCCUUAAAUAAACAAA